rnacentral:lncRNA from 1 species
AUCUUGGUUAUGGGCUGCGGCCCGACGCGGCCUCUCCGCCGAGGCGUGGAGACGUCACGCUAGAGGCCGCGAGCUGGCCAGACACUCCGUCUUUCCCACAACAGGUGCAUUCAUCCAUCCGCCGACGGUUGGGGAGGUCUUGCUAGCUGGUGGGCUUGGCUCUUUACCCGUUGUCCCCGAGUAGCCCUCAAGCCUGGAUGUAGAUGCUGAGAUCCAAAGUCCAGGUCUCUGCUGCAGCAGUACUCUGAUACACUGAACUCUGAUACAGCACUACUCUGAUACACUGAACUCUGAUACAGCAGUACUCGGAUACACUGAACUCUGAUACAGCAGUACUCGGAUACACUGAACUCUGAUACAGCACUACUCUGAUACACUGAACUCUGAUACAGCAGUACUCUGAUACACUGAACUCUGAUACAGCAGUACUCGGAUACACUGAACUCUGAUACAGCAGUACUCGGAUACACUGAACUCUGAUACAGCAGUACUCGGAUACACUGAACUCUGAUACAGCAGUACUCUGAUACACCGAACUCUGAUACAGCAGUACUCUGAUACACUGAACUCUGAUACAGCAGUACUCUGAUACACCGAACUCUGAUACAGCAGUACUCGGAUACACUGAACUCUGAUACAGCAGUACUCUGAUACACCGAACUCUGAUACAGCAGUACUCGGAUACACUGAACUCUGAUACAGCAGUACUCUGAUACACUGAACUCUGAUACAGCAGUACUCUGAUACACUGAACUCUGAUACAGCAGUACUCGGAUACACUGAACUCUGAUACAGCAGUACUCGGAUACACUGAACUCUGAUACAGCAGUACUCGGAUACACUGAACUCUGAUACAGCAGUACUCUGAUACACUGAACUCUGAUACAGCAGUACUCUGAUACACUGAACUCUGAUACAGCAGUACUCGGAUACACUGAACUCUGAUACAGCAGUACUCGGAUACACUGAACUCUGAUACAGCAGUACUCGGAUACACUGAACUCUGAUACAGCAGUACUCGGAUACACUGAACUCUGAUACAGCAGUACUCGGAUACACUGAACUCUGAUACAGCAGUACUCGGAUACACUGAACUCUGAUACAGCAGUACUCGGAUACACUGAACUCUGAUACAGCAGUACUCUGAUACACUGAACUCUGAUACAGUUCUUCAGUACAGAGCCAUCUCUAGCCUCUCUGACUUGGUUGUCUGUGUCUGCAGGACCUCAGAUUGUACCUGCCCCCCAGCCUUGAGCAGCCCACCUAGAGGGUGGAGUCUUCUGACCUUGGUGGAGUCUAUUGUAUGCCGCAUCUGCAGCUUCCUGUAAGAAGCCACUACUUGCUGAGCAGCUGAGUUUUCCUUCCAGAUGAGAUUCUGGCAAAGUAGGGGAUAGGCUCCCCACCCCCGCCCUUUAAAUUCAGACCUUAGAAUUAAAACAUUGAGCCUUGAUCAGA